AUGUUGCAAGGCGUGUCUGUCUGCAGCAGGACAGUCUGAGCAUUGCUUGCCAUUCAGUGCUCAUGAAAAGGAGGUACGAAGACUGAGACUCAAGGUUGACAUCAGAGUCAAGUGACAAUGUGAUGAUCUCAGAGGAGCUCCUUUGCAGUUUGUGGAGGACCCUGAGCUCAUGACAGGAGACAGCGACAUUUUAAGAGUUGUUUGUCAGUUCCUGAAGGCCAUAAUGGUGUGAAGUA